rnacentral:rRNA from 1 species
GACGAACGCUGGCGGCGUGCUUAACACAUGCAAGUCGAACGGAAAGGCCCUGCUUUUGUGGGGUGCUCGAGUGGCGAACGGGUGAGUAACACGUGAGUAACCUGCCCUUGACUUUGGGAUAACUUCAAGAAACUGGGGCUAAUAUCGGAUAGGAGCUCCUGCUGCAGGGUGGGGGUUGGAAAUUUGCUGCGGUAGGGGAUGGACUCGCGGCUUAUCAGCUUGUUGGUGGGGUAGUGGCUUACCAAGACUUUGACGGGUAGCCGGCCUGGGAGGGUGAACAACUACAUGGGUACUGAGGGACGGCCCAGGCUGCUACGGGAGACAGCAGUGGGGAAUAUUGCACAAUGGGCGGGAGCCUGAUGCAGCAACGCCGCGUGCGGGAAGACGGCCUUCGGGUUGUAAACCGCUUUCGCCUGUGACGAAGCGUGAGUGACGGUAAUGGGUAAAGAAGCACCGGCUAACUACGUG